rnacentral:lncRNA from 1 species
CCAAUCAAAAGCAUUCUCCAUGUCUUUCGAAGUGAUGGGAUCCUUCUUUUGCUAGUUAAACUUCUCCUUGAGCCUCUGAUUCUCGCUUACAAAAACCAAGUUAUUGAGCUUCCUUUGCUGAAGCCUAUUUCUUCUCUUUAUAUGCACCUAUAAGAAAAAAUGCAUAAGUACUAGACUACUGGUGUACUACAAUUACUAAUCAAUCCAUCUAUUAGUAAUGUAUUAUAUCAUAGUUUAAUAUAUUUAUAUCUAUUAUCUCCUAUAAAUCUAUAUUCAAAAAAUGAACUUGCAAACAACAAAAGAAUAUAAAAUACCAUCUCAAACGAACUCCAAUUGCACUCACAACUAAAAGAGCUAGCUGUCAAACUCAAGAUCCG